rnacentral:rRNA from 1 species
AGCAGCCGCGGUAAUUCCAGCUCCAAUAGCGUAUAUUAAAGUUGCUGCAGUUAAAAAGCUCGUAGUUGAAUUUCGGGACUAAUAUGUCGGUCGUGCCUCGGUACGUACUGGCUUAUUGGUUUCUCCUUUCUGAAGAACCAUGAUGUCAUUUAUUUGGUGUCGUGGGGAAUCAGGACUGUUACUUUGAAAAAAUUAGAGUGUUUAAAGCAGGCUCACGCUUGAAUACAUUAGCAUGGAAUAAUGAAAUAGGACGUUUGAUUCUAUUUUGUUGGUUUCUAGGAUCGACGUAAUGAUUAAUAGGGAUAGUUGGGGGCAUUAGUAUUCAAUUGUCAGAGGUGAAAUUCUUGGAUUUAUUGAAGACUAACUACUGCGAAAGCAUUUGCCAAGGAUGUUUUCAUUAAUCAAGAACGAAAGUUAGGGGAUCGAAGACGAUCAGAUACCGUCGUAGUCUUAACCAUAAACUAUGCCGACUAGGGAUCGGAUGAUGUUAAUUUUUAAUGACUCAUUCGGCGCCUUAAC